rnacentral:lncRNA from 1 species
AUCUAUCAACACCUUAAAGUGUCAUGAAUGGUCCAUUGAUCAUUUAUUAACAUGUUUGAAUGUUGAAGAUUUUAUCAACCCUAAAAUCAUUUACCAUGAUCAAAUAGAAUGUCAUCAACCACCAUCAAAUACAAAGGUAUAAAUGUCUAACUAAAAUGAUCAAAAUAAAAUAAAUAAUGGAUGAAUAAUAUAUGGAUGAAAAAUAUUUACGUGUAUUUACAAAAAUAUUUGGUUAAAAGGAAAAUAAAUAAAAGAAAUUAAAAUGGAAAAGAAAAGGAAAUAAGAUGAAGGAACUAAAAUAAAAAUAAGAAAACAAAAAGGAAAAAGAUAAAAAAGGAAACAAGGGGGUGCUAGGGGUUGAACCCCUGGCCUUGGGGUCAUGGGUCAACCCCGUUUCCUCUGGGCCAAGCGCCCUUGAUGUUAACAAACACGUUUAAUGAAAAUAAAUAACAAAC